AAAAAUGCGAUGAAGAGAAGAGUACAAUCAGGAAUUCUUCAAAGAGAGCUCCAGUUGGUGAAAAGGAGUAAGGAGGAAUGGUUGGAAGCAAGCCUCAGAGCGGCACAUUGGAUCCCAUGUAGGUGAUAGUGUGACAGGAGCUCCUGUUAUAGAGCUAGGGUAUACGUAUGGACUUCAUACCGUACCUAAUGAGGGGAAUAUGGUGACAUAUUGCCAAACUGGGGUGGCACCACGGCCCGCAACAACUCGUCCUCAAG
rnacentral:ncRNA from 1 species